AUUUAACGCUGGCGGCAGGCCUAACACAUGCAAGUCGCGCGGAGCGGCGGACGGGUGAGUAAUGCCUAGGAAGCUGCCUGGUAGUGGGGGAUAAAGUCCGGAAACGAGCGAUAACACCGCAUACUAUCAGAUGAGCCUAGGUGGGAUUAGCUAGUUGGUGGGGUAAAGGCCUACCAAGGCGACAAUCCGGACCUAGUCUGAGAGGAUGAUCAGUCAAACUGGAACUGAGACACGGUCCAGACUCCUACGGGAGGCAGCAGUUGGGAAUAGUGGAAAAUGGGCGAAAGCCUGAUCCAGCCAUGCCGCGUGUGUGAAGAAGGUCUUCGGAGUGUAAAGCACUUUAAGUUGGGAGGCGUUACCAACAGAAGAAGCACCGGCUAACGUCGUGCCAGCAGCCGCGGUAAUAC
rnacentral:rRNA from 1 species